rnacentral:rRNA from 1 species
UACGUAGGUGGCAAGCGUUGUCCGGAUUUAUUGGGUUUAAAGGGUGCGUAGGCGGCCGUAUAAGUCAGUGCUGAAAUAUCCCGGCUUAACCGGGAGGGUGGCAUUGAUACUGUAUGGCUUGAGUGCGGGAGAGGGAUGUGGAAUUCCAGGUGUAGCGGUGAAAUGCGUAGAUAUCUGGAGGAACACCGGUGGCGAAGGCGGCAUCCUGGACCGACACUGACGCUGAGGUGCGAAAGCGUGGGGAGCAAACAGG